rnacentral:rRNA from 1 species
CCCUUAGAUGUUCUGGGCGGCCCGCGCACUACAAUGGCGUGUGCAGCGAGUGCCGAAGUAGAGUUUUCCGAGGUAUUCUUGCAAUGCUCGUUUUGAUGGGGAUAGACCCUUGCAACUGUUGGUUUUGAACGAGGAAUUCCUUGUAAGCAUGGUUUAUCAUCCGACGCUGAAUGCGUCCCUGCCCUUUGUACACAACGCCCGUCGCUCCUACCGAUGAGUCGUCCGGUGAAGUUCGUAGACCUCGUGAUCGCGGAUCACUGGGGGAAGCAAAAUGAACCUCGCGGUUUAGAGGAAGGAGAAGUCGUAACA